GUCAGCUGCUGCAUUCAGAUUUGCUUGUAGCGCUCACUGACUUCUGGUUAGAAGGGACUACACGAAAUGCUGAAGAAAUCAUGCCAUUGUCUUCUUUUCAGCGUAGAUUUGCAGAAAGCACCUUAACGCCUGUCCCAAGGAAUGUAAACAUGGACAAUAGCCUUCAGGCCCAGAACCUUGGAAGGAUUCCGAGGACUGUCAGUGAUAAAGAGGAAGAUGAUGAAAGAGGGGUCCCAAACUCCCCCAGACUCAGUUCCUGAAGGGAGGAGUGACCGUGUUAUCUACCCAGAGACCAUCUCUGCACCCCUGCUCCUGGACUGUGUAGCCCUUCCUUCUCACUCUGCUCCUGCAGCAGUUCCAGGCUUUCCUGCUCUCCCGGUCCUAAUACAGUUACCGACCACUGCAUUUUUUCUGCAUGACUUGGCAAUGUUGUCUUUGUUGGCUCUUCCCUGUGUGGAGGUAUCAGGGUCAUUUUUCCAUUUGCCAGAAGAGAAAACAAGCCACAAAAGACAGAGUGACUGCCCAAGGUCAUCCCUCAGGCUGACACAGCUUUGGAAAUAAAUAUGAGUUUCCUGAAUCCCAGCCCAAUGUUCUGUCCUCAACAAUAAAUGAAUGGCCAUCUUAACCACCAGAGGACAACAUUACCCAAUCACUCGCAUGUCUCUGAAACUGAAGGCCCUCUGGAAAACACAAGGUAUUUGCAUUUCGGUGGUCUCUGCAGUGUCUGACACUUCCAGUGUUUGUAAAGUCAUUUUUUAAUGCAAUGUAGUGAUGACCUAGAGAGAAAUGGAUUACCUCCAUAAUCAAUUGUAACAAAAUUUGCCACUCAGGUGCUUUCCUACAUAUUAAUAUGAUUUUGAAACUUUCACUCUGGAGACUUGUUCUUGAUAGGCUUUGGUAUCUAGCCAAUAUUUUAUAGGCAACAUUUUAAUUCAAUAAUACUUUAAGUGCAACAACAAAUUUGACAAAUGAAGCAUCUGUGUGAAAUAUACAAAUUAAAUUCUACAUGGGGAAGGCAAAUCUGAGGCUGUCUGAGCAGAGAUUAUAACAGCAGUAUGAUUUAAAACAUAACACUGAUGAAACUUUUGGAAAAUAUCCUUCCUUUCUUCACGAGAAAGUAACUCGUAGGCAGAUGUCUAUACAUCUUUAGAGUCUGGAGACUCAAUUUCUUUACAGAGUAAUUACUAGAUAACAAAAUUUUAAUCACUGUCUGGACCAUUAAACUUUGGUAAAGGUGACUGAAAUGAUCUCGGGGGAACCAAGAGCUUGUUUAGAACAGGGAUAUUAAGCAGCAGUAACUAAGUAACACAGCGGGAGUGUGAGUCCCAAGAGAAAAUAUGUUACAAUGACAAUGUUUAUUACACAUCUCAAUUACUUUGUACUAUGCACUUCAGCUUUCUGCAACAGAAAUCUACCACUGCUUCAGACCUCCAGAAGCCUGAAGAGCUACACAGGUGUCCUGAGUGCCUUCUCUGGUCUUGAGACCAGGUGGCACAGUCUAGUCAUAUCCAUCCUGAAAUUAUAAACGGCCAUAUCCAAACUGCCCAAAGUUAAUAGCUUAUCCUAUAUUAAUUCUCAGAUCAUCCCAGGAAUUACCUGGAAGAUUGAUAAUACACUGCAGCUGUGCAUGGGACUGUUUGAACAGUUUAACAGUGCAGGUAGCCUACUUCUGCCCCUCUGCCUGUUCAUUUACUAGUCAAAACAGAACCAAUGAUGAUCUCCUAGCAAAAACAAUAUGCUUCUCAUGUGUUAUGAACAAAAAAAGAGCUGAAAAGGGAUGGACAAAGAAGAAUGACGAAUGGAGAGGGAAGACAGGGCCAAAGUUCUUAACUGGGAAAGCUCUGAGUUAGCAGUGUUGUAGAUAAACGUGAGAAAUGCAGGACGGAAGAAGAGAGGAUGCUGCAAUACUCAAAUUACCAAAGGUUGAGGGAUGGAACUAGUUAAGGGUUUGGAGCAGCAUCUGCAUUUUAGAUCUACUAGGCAAGAGGAAUCUUUGAAGUUCAGAGUCAGCCAUGGGCAGAGGCUCAGCUGAAGACAAAUCUGAGGUCCAGGGAAGGUGGUGCUAUUCUUGGUGAGCAGAAAGGAAGUAGCAGGGAGGGCUAAGGAGACAAUGUAUUGUUGAUUAGGGUUAUCCACCACUAAGCUGGAUCCCCACAAAGCAGAGGCAAGCACAUGGCCUGAAAUUCAUCUGACUAGACCUGAACACCUGACAGUCUCUCAGAGGUUGCCAGCUGUGAAGGAAGCCUGCAGUUCAUCUUCAAUGUUAUUCAGAAUUAUUAAAAGAGACACAGAGGUCAAAAGAGAAGCAAAAGUUUCUAAAGAAGCUGCCCACAUUGAGAAUAUUACCCCAACAAUACAUAUUAAAGUGAUCAUCCCUGUCCUACUGAUGUGCUGGUGAGGCAGACCUUCAAUGCAUCCAAGCUCAGGAGGCAAUAGUGGGUGUUAAAAUUAUUCAAGCUACCUACUUGGCCAAGUAUUUGUGGUUAGAGAUGCUGAAGUCCUGCAAGUCAAAGAUCACAGAAAUCCAAAGAGCGUCUGAGAAAUGGGUUCGGCGUCCCUGUACCCAAUCCAGCUUUACUGCUGACAUCUAAACUAAUAAGUAAGUUUAAUAGUGCCAGCUAUUGUAGCCUCUUUACUGCAUAACUGUAGGAAGGUGAUUAAUGUGGUUUUGGAACAGGGGCAAAUAACCCUCUCUUAGGCAGUUCUCAGGGACAAUGUUGGUUUCUGAUGAGUCAGGGACCAUUUCCAGUAGGCAAUCUGGAUACAGACCCUCUGUUUUGAAUUUAAAAAUAGAGGCACAGUAAAAAAAUUUUGGUUGGGUUUGUUGCCUAAAACUGGGAGAAAAAAAACUCACCAGGCCAUAUUAGAAUAAGUAAGAUAGAGAGCAGGUCUUUAAUGAAGGCCUUUUGGCGCAAGGAGUACAAAGACGCGCACCCGUGUCCAGGGGUUUCAC